rnacentral:misc_RNA from 1 species
UCAGCCGUUUUUGCUUUUCUGUGUGUCGCUCUACGUCUGCCGUGAAAUGAAUACAACCUCUCGACGGUUUCUUCUUCACAGCCUGGAAUGCCAAGCACCACACUCCGCAAAGGCACAAGAUACCACCGCGCUUGUUAGUCAAGACUGCCACCGGUACCCCCAGUCGACAGGCAAGCAGACAGGAAAGCACAAGACAACGAGAAAAAAAAAAGUAUCGGCGUCAUGGGUUGCUCUCUGUUCGACGCGAUUCCUCAACUGCCGUAACCGCCUGCACCUGGUUAGAUAUUACGCAUUUUUUCCAUCAUCAUUUUUAUCCUUUUUCGGCGCUUGGCAUUGAACUAGAUUGCGGUAGGGAUGGGCAAUGACGAUAAAAGAGGCGACUCACAGACUCCGCCGCGCAGGACGCGGCAAGUUGCGUGGAAGCCGCCCGAUGUGAGUGCAUCGCCUAUCCAUCUUAGCACACCGAGUGCGCACAGGGAUCCCAUAGCCAGUAGCGGAGCCUUUGCCACGGAAGAAGCCGUGAAGGAAGGCGAGCGCUGCUUUGGUCGCAUCCGCGUUGUCGUGCGUUGUCGUCCUUUGCAGCCAGACACGGAGGCCGACCACUCCACCGAGUGUGUCCGUAUCAAAGGUGACGAGGUGAUCGUGUGUGACAAGGCGAUGCAAAAAGAAGGUCGAUGCUACCGUUUCGAUCGGGUUCUGCCUGCGGAAGCGGACCAGGUGACGACCUUCGCCGAGAUUGCCCCUCUCGUUGAGCACGUCCUCGAUGGGUUUCAUGCCACCGUAUUCGCCUAUGGACAAACAGGUAGUGGCAAGACCCACACCAUGGAUGGCUUGCGCUACGCGUCGAACUCGCAGCAGCGCAAGGCGAUCGUACCGGAUGUGGACGGGACAGAAGUCCAGCAACAUGGCAUCAUGCCUCGCGUCAUACAGCUGCUCUUCGACCGUGCACGAGAGCGGCAAUGCGCGACCGUCUUCGAGAGCACUGAAGCGCAGCAUGAUGCAGAGACGCUGGACGACGGGGUGGAGUACACGUUCCGCUGCAGCUUCUACCAGAUCUACAACGAGAAGAUCACCGAUCUACUUCGCGGCACCGGUGUCCCGGGGGAUGUCGGCGAGGCAACGGCGUCGUCUUUGUCCUCGUCAUCGGCGCUGACGAAGCUUAAGAUGGGUGCGCGCAGCAAAAGAGGCGUCGGCGAUGGAGACCUGCGUGUGCGUUGGCACAAGGGCGAUGUCUUCAAGGUGGAAAACUUGUUUAUCUGCACCUGCGACUCUCCAGCUGAGAUGCGUGAGAUGCUGUUUAGUGGCAUUCGACAAAAAGUGGUGAGCAGCCACCUCCUGAAUCACCGGUCUUCCCGCUCUCAUUGUGUCUUUACCAUCUACGUGGAAAGCCGCGCGCGCCAGAAAGGCGAGCUGCUUAACCGAUCGGAGCUGUCACUUGUGGAUCUGGCCGGUUCCGAAAAGAUAGGUCUUCUCUCCCACAACCCAAGCGCCAGGCUUGUCAAGGAGUCAAUCGACAUCAACACAUCGCUGCUGGCUCUAGGAAAGGUGAUCACAGCGCUCAGUAGUGGUCCUGCCGCGGCAGCCGCGGAGCUUAAAAGGAAGAACCUCGGUCUGGCACCUCGCGCUCGCGGCGGUGCAGAGCAGCAGGCGGCCACCCGGCACAUUCCCUAUCGUGACAGCAAGCUGACGAUGCUCCUCAAGCACGCUCUCGGUGGCAACUCCCUCACCACCAUGAUUGCCUGCAUCAGUCCCUCAGACCGCUACGUGGACGAGACGACUUCCACGCUCCUCUACGCGGGUCGCGCGAAGAACAUACGGAAUGAGCCGCACGUAAACGAGGAUGCGACGACGGUGCUGAUCCGGCAGCUCCGAGAGGAGAUCGCUCAGCUUAAAGCAGAGCUCGGAUAUUACCGAGAGAUGGCGGCGAACUCACUGGUAGAGCGAGAGGGGCGCGUGAACGCGUGCGAGUGCUGCUGCGGCGCUGUGUACAAGGAUCCCCCACGCUCCGUCGACCCAUCGAGCCUCACUGCCCGCGGCACGACGGAAGAUAUUGCCAUGGUACAAGAGGUGGAUCAACUCGCUGACUCGCUUGUGGCCGCGUGUGGGAUGCUAACCAACUUGAUGCAAGUGAAUUCACAGCUGCGCGAGUUCUAUGACGCCGUGCGAGACAGGCAGGAUGCCGCGGAACGCCGCGAGGCAGAGCUGAACGCUGAAAACCUGGCGCUUCGUGAGCGUCUUGCCGUGUUGGAAGACAUCGUGCUGCAAGACGAAGACCUGGGGGAGGUCAAGGAGGACAACAUGAUCGGCAACGGUGAUGCCAGCGACGCCGACGAGAAACUUAACAACAGCGCGCCAGGGGCACGAGCGAGCAAGUCAGACAAGAAAAGAGGACGCUCGCGUGCGCUAGAAGAGACACUUGCGGUGGCGAAGGAGUCCUCCGCCGCACCGGCACUCGGGCGGCUUGCAGAUGACAGUGCGUGCGGCGGCAAGAUGGCCGACAGUAGCGCUGAAGGUGCCUCCUCUUCCCACAGGUUAGCUUCCUCAUCGACAGCCGUUGGGCAACCUGCCACUGCGACGAAGGAGGAUUGCGAAUCCAACAGGCCCGUCUUGGCGCCACCUGACAACGAGGCGGUGGCGUCGCCGGUGCGCAAGAUUGCGCCUGGCUCGUCCACCACGGUUAAGCAGCUCUCCAUCGCGCUGCGCGGCGUGCCAAAUGGCAGUCCCCCAUUCGAAGACGCCACGCUGAAGGGCCCAGCCGACCGUGAGUCCUCCAGGAAAUGUGCAAUGGAUGAUGAGGGCCGAAGACGACUUCAUGGUCACAAAAAAAGGACAGAGAAGAAACGUAAUGGGCUGGCAAACCGGCUCAAGGAGUACGAGGCGCAAUACCGGACACCUCACACCAUUGAAACGUACGCUGACUACUACAAGCAGCCGGCACGCAGCCAAAGUCUGGCGGCGGUUGUUCCUGGAGUUCCAGCGAUCCGAGCCUCUGAGGCUGUUGCGCCGCACGUGACGGCCACACUGCAGGACAUGAAGAUGACAGUGUCAAAGCUGCCCAAGGCGGUUGUGCGAGAGUACGUGCCUGCCUCUCUUUUGCGGCCGGGUCUGUUCGGGUGCUUGGCGUUCGGCGGUGGCGAUUCCGAGAAGGCAUUAUUUGAGCAAAACCGUAGCUCCCGGGAGGCACGUCUGCGUGCAUUGCAGCAGCGUCAGCAGGAGUUGUACCGACAGGUUCGCCUGGCGGUUCACGGACUUCGAUCCGAGGAUCCAGCCAGUGGCGUCUCUCCACCCCCGUCAGCGUCAGCCACCUCGUCAGCGGCCAGUGCACCGCAGCGACCAAACUCCACGAGCAAUAUCCCAGGUACUGCGGGCAAGCGAGAGGAGAUGAUCAGCAGCAGAAGCGGCUUCGCACAUCUCUCUUGUGAGCCAGCCCUAGCCUACGCUCUGCAGGCUGUAAAUCGCACGGCCACCGGCCCGUACCAUGAGCCCAGUAUGCGACAGCGGCCACGCGCGCCCUCCGACAGCAUGAAACGGCUUAUGAGGUACAUGGAGCGCGACAGGUGACGCAAGAGCGACGGUGUGGUACAGCUUUUAAGCAUGGUGGGUGUCCCUCUACGGCAGCGGCUCUAUUUUCCUGCAUAUAUUCUCUUUUUUGUUGUUACGCAUGUGCGUGCGUGUGUGUGUGUGUGUGUGUCGCGUUAGCCUUGUCAUCGCAUCAUGAUGUACACGAACCUGCGUGCGCGUGCUUGCCUGGCCUGGGAAACAGCACUGUGCUGCGCGAGAAGCAAGCAUAUCCAUGUAAACUCCCUUGAACUUUUGCCAGUAGGUCGACAUAACAAAGGACGCGUAGAUGCUGACUUUUAUUGCAGAAGAAUCGGGGCUGACGGAAGUGCUACCCCAUGCUGCUCGUGCCAUGUGGGACUGCACCCUAUGGGGAGAAGGAUGAACUCUGCCGUUACCAGAGUAUUGCUUCGCUGUCUUGCAUGCUUGCAGACAGCGUCUUACUAGCGUGCUCCUCCG